rnacentral:pre_miRNA from 1 species
AAUAAGUGCAGUUUUGCACUAUUCACGUUUAACGUUUGACCGUCCGUUUUAUUUGAAAAAUUUGUGAAAAAAUUAAAAACAUUUAGUCACACAUAAAGUAUUAUUCAUGUUUUAUCAUCUAAUAGCAAUAAAAAUACUAAUCAUAAAAAUUUUUCAAAUAAGACGGACGGUCAAACGUUGAACAUGAAUAGUGCAAAACUGCACUUAUU